AGUAACGAUAAAGCGGGUGAAAAACCCGCUCGCCGGAAGACCAAGGGUUCCUGUCCAACGUUAAUCGGGGCAGGGUGAGUCGACCCCUAAGGCGAGGCCGAAAGGCGUAGUCGAUGGGAAACAGGUUAAUAUUCCUGUACUCGGUGUUACUGCGAAGGGGGGACGGAGAAGGCUAGGCUAUCCGGGCGACGGUUGUCCCGGUUUAAGCGUGUAGGGGGUGUGACUUGGUAAAUCCGGUCGCAUAUCAACCCUGAGGCGUGAUGACGAGUCACUACGGUGAUGAAGUAGUUGAUGCCAAGCUUCCAGGAAAAGCCUCUAAGCUCUAGGUAACAUU
rnacentral:rRNA from 1 species